UGACCGCUGGCGGCGUGCCUAAUACAUGCAAGUCGAGCGAACAGAUAAGGAGCUUGCUCCUUUGACGUUAGCGGCGGACGGGUGAGUAACACGUGGGUAACCUACCUAUAAGACUGGAAUAGCUCCGGGAAACCGGGGCUAAUGCCGGAUAACAUUUAGAACCGCAUGGUUCUAAAGUGAAAGAUGGUUUUACUAUCACUUAUAGAUGGACCCGCGCCGUAUUAGCUAGUUGGUAAGGUAACGGCUUACCAAGGCAACGAUACGUAGCCGACCUGAGAGGGUGAUCGGCCACACUGGAACUGAGACACGGUCCAGACUCCUACGGGAGGCAGCAGUAGGGAAUCUUCCGCAAUGGGCGAAAGCCUGACGGAGCAACGCCGCGUGAGUGAUGAAGGUCUUCGGAUCGUAAAACUCUGUUAUUAGGGAAGAACAAAUGUGUAAGUAACUGUGCACGUCUUGACGGUACCUAAUCAGAAAGCCACGGCUAACUACGUG
rnacentral:rRNA from 1 species